UACGUAGGGGGCGAGCGUUGUCCGGAGUUACUGGGCGUAAAGCGCUUGUAGGCGGUCCACCAAGUUUGGGGUGACAGUUGCCGACUUAAUCGGCAAAGUGCCUCAAAGACUGGCGGACUUGAGGGCCACAGAGGGACAUGGAACUCCAGGUGUAGUGGUGAAAUGCGUAGAUAUCUGGAAGAACACCAAAGGCGAAGGCAGUGUCCUGGGUGGUCGCUGACGCUGAGGCGCGAAAGCGUGGGGAGCAAACAGG
rnacentral:rRNA from 1 species